UUUGUCGUGGCCGUAUCGGCAGCCGUGGGUUGCCGGCGCCGACGCCGAGUGCCAUUAUCAGACAUUACCAGAAGAAGAACACGUGGCUCGGUAACCUUUUAUCUGCGUUUAGAAGCGUUAUCUCUUGUAAGACAUUAUUCCGUUGAUUAUAUCUGAUUUGAAGAAUCGCGAGAAUGUCGCGCUCUCUUAGGAGCUUAUUUGGAGCUGAAAAUAGAUAAAGCAUCACGUUUGCCGCAAAAGAUUAAAAAACAUCAAAGUAUGGAUAAGGAUAAAGUUGAAGGUGAUAGCCAUGGAAAGUUAGAGACUUCCACUGAUUCAUCAAAAAGUGUAACACAAAUUAAGAACAUAGAGCAACAGUGAAAAAAUAUAGAAAAUAUUGCCGGCUUAAAGCGACUUUCGAAUGAUAUGUUGGAGAAUCUUACGAAUGCGCCAACAAGAGCGAAGAAGAAACGAAAAGUCUCACGAAACUAACAACAAAUGUCGUCAUGCUCCACGCAGUUCUCUGCAGUAAACUUACAGAAUACUAAAAAACAAUUGUCGGAAGGAGCUGCCAUGGCAGCUUCGUUCAGGCAACGCACGCUUGAUAGAAAUAGGCGAGAACCAAAUUUGACCUACAUGAUGUACAAAAUGAACUCGUUAAAAUGAUAGAUGUUUCGGUAAUGUGUAAAGGAAAGUUACGAGAUAGGUUCCUAAUAUAAUAGCGAACGGUUGUUUACACUAGUGCGCACUGAGUGCACUAAGGUUUAUUUAUAGUUAAUUCUUAUAUUUAACUUUGUCCUAAAUA